rnacentral:rRNA from 1 species
ACCCGCUGAACUUAAGCAUAUCAAUAAGCGGAGGAAAAGAAACUAACAAGGAUUCCCCUAGUAACUGCGAGUGAAGCGGGAAAAGCUCAAAUUUAAAAUCUGGUAGUCUAUGGCUGCCCGAGUUGUAAUCUAGAGAAGCGUUACCCGCGCUGGACCGUGUAUAAGUGUCCUGGAAUGGACUAUCAUAGAGGGUGAGAAUCCCGUCUUUGACACGGACUCCCAGGGCUUUGUGGUGCGCUCUCAAAGAGUCGAGUUGUUUGGGAAUGCAGCUCUAAAUGGGUGGUAAAUUCCAUCUAAAGCUAAAUAUUGGCGAGAGACCGAUAGCGAACAAGUACCGUGAGGGAAAGAUGAAAAGAACUUUGGAAAGAGAGUUAAACAGUACGUGAAAUUGUUGAAAGGGAAACGCUUGAAGUCAGUCGCGUUGGCUGGAAAUCAACCUUGCUUUUGCUGGGCGUACUUUCCAGUUGACGGGUCAGCAUCAGUUUUGGUCGGUGGAUAAAGGUCAGGGGAAUGUGGCACCUUCGGGUGUGUUAUAGCCCUUGGUUGUAUACACUGGCUGGGACUGAGGAACUCAGCACUUGUGCUUAGGAUGCUGGCAUAAUGGCUUUAAGCGACCCGUCUUGAAACACGGACCAAGGAGUCUAACAUGCCUGCGAGUGUUUGGGUGGAA